CCAAAUAGCGGAGGAAAAGAAACCAACAGGGAUUGCCUCAGUAGCGGCGAGUGAAGCGGCAAGAGCUCAGAUUUGAAAUCUCACCUAGUGUGCGAGUUGUAAAUUGCAGGUUGGAGUCUCGGGUUAGACGUGUGUGCAAGUCCCUUGGAACAGGGUGCCACUGAGGGUGAGAGCCCCGUAUCGUGCAUGUCGACACCUGUGAGGCCCUUCUGACGAGUCGAGUUGUUUGGGAAUGCAGCUCUAAGUGGGUGGUAAAUUCCAUCUAAGGCUAAAUAUUGGCGAGAGACCGAUAGCGAACAAGUACUGUGAAGGAAAGAUGAAAAGCACUUUGAAAAGAGAGUGAAACAGCACGUGAAAUUGUUGAAAGGGAAGGGUAUUGGGCUCGACAUGGGAUUUACGCAUCGUUGCCUCUCGUGGGCGGCGCUCUGGGUUUUUCCUGGGCCAGCAUCGGUUUUCGUUGCAGGAUAAGGACAAUUGGAAUGUGGCUCCUCGGAGUGUUAUAGCCUUUUGUAGAUGCUGCGUAUGGGGACCGAGGGCUGCGGCGGACUCGUUUCGUCUCGGAUGCUGGCACAACGGCGCAAUACCGCCCGUCUUAAACCCCGGG
rnacentral:rRNA from 1 species